rnacentral:other from 1 species
CACCUCCUGCGGUGUGCGAUACGGGCUGGGUUACUCUUUGAGCCUAAAUCAAAACCCCGGAGUUGGCCCGUUGACGUCGGUGUGCAGGUCCGCCCUGGUAGCGGAAAGCCUAAAGCGUUACGGCCGGCUCCACCUGAACCUUUGGUUCAAGGGCGAAAGCCUGUAACGGCACUGGCGGGAGGCGC